rnacentral:tRNA from 1 species
UGGGGAGUGGUGUAACUGGCCAGCACGGGACACUUUGGAUGUCCAGGAUGGGGUUCGAAUCCCUGCUCCCCAG